rnacentral:rRNA from 1 species
UAUACGACUCUCGGCAACGGAUAUCUCGGCUCUCCGCAUCGAUGAAGAACGUAGCGAAAUGCGAUACUUGGUGUGAAUUGCAGAAUCCCGUGAACCAUCGAGUCUUUGAACGCAAGUUGCGCCCGAGGCCUUUCGGUUGAGGGCACGCCUGCCUGGGCGUCACGC